CAGGCACCUGUAAGUGCUCAGCCCAGAUUCUGCGUCUGGCCAGGCCUGCUUGCUGCCCCUCUGCAAACAGGUGUUAAUCUCUAGGAAGUUACCUGAUCAACUUCCUGUUGCUCAUUUCCGUCUUAUUCGGCUUCCCAGGGAACCAACUUGCAAUACAAGUCUCUGCGUUAUCUUUUCCUUGGCCCUAAGACCUCAGAAACCCUGAACCACCCAGGUUCCCAGAGAAGCCUCCAUCCUGACCCGAGGCCUGGGGUUUCUUUUAGGAGGCGGGAGCAGAACGUAAGAACCCAGGAAGCUGUGCCUCCGGGACUGGAGGGGGAGCGCCUGCCCACCAGGGGGCAGUGUCCACCCGCGUGUGAACAGCGCCGGCGGCCCGGAGGUGAACAGCAGCGUUGCCCUGAUGCGAGGGACCCUGCGUGCGCGUGGACAUGCUUGUACCAGGAUGAUCAAAAUGCCUUCAUGAGGAGGAGUGGACUGGGGGCUCCAGUGGGAUGUCAGAGAAGCAUCUGUAGAGAAUUUGGAGAUGGACUGAAGACCCAGAACCAACCUAGUCACUCAUCUGCAUUGUCAGCUUGGGUAAGUUGUACCUUUUCUCUGGAAUUCAGUUUCUCAAUGUGUAACAUGAAAAGUUGUGCC
rnacentral:lncRNA from 1 species